rnacentral:tRNA from 1 species
GCCUCCAUAGCUCAGUUGGUUAGAGCAUCCGCCUCUUAAGUGGAGUGUCGCAGGUUCGAGUCCUGCUGGGGGCA